AUCCAGUUGAUGAGUCCCAAAUAGGACGAAACUCUCUUCAUGGAU
rnacentral:hammerhead_ribozyme from 1 species